rnacentral:rRNA from 1 species
GAUGAACGCUGGCGGCGUGCUUAACACAUGCAAGUCGAACGAAGCAUUUUACUACGAUUCCUUCGGGAUGACGGUGAUUUGACUGAGUGGCGGACGGGUGAGUAACGCGUGGGUAACCUGCCUUAUACAGGGGGAGUAACAAGUUGGAAACGAACUGCUAAUACCGCAUAAGCGCACGGUAUCGCAUGAUACAGUGUGAAAACUACUGGUGGUANAAGUUUUUAGGACCGCGUCUGAUUAGCUAGUUGGUGGGGUAACGGACCCGACCAAGGCGACGAUCAGUAGGGUUCGUGAGAGGAAGGU